GUGCCGCUUCUGGCUGCUGUUGUGGUACAUCGCGGAGCCGCGAGGCAGGCCGCGGCGGCCUGAGGAAAGGACGCCACAGGGCACGACGCGGCGGGCAAACACCGCCUGGGCUACCACCGCGGUCCCGCGGAAACCGAGGGCGCCCGCUCGGCGGCGCCGGCGCGGUGACGUCCAGACCACGUGAUAUUUCCGACGGCAGUCGCGCUUCCGGAGCGGACUGAGAGGAAAACAGCCCUCGGGUUACCUUUGUGAGAGAAAAUAAUGGGAGAUGCUUAUUCAUUUGUUGGCCUUGUGUUUAUACACAUGCAACAUGACCACAGUGAAAUUUAAUACCUAUUUGAAGAAAAAUUAUUAAUAACCACAUUCCCACUGGCUAAAAAAAGAAUUUGCUUGAAGGAGAUAUUGAUAAAUUACAAUAGCCAAUGAUGUAUGAAAGUUUACAGACUAUGAAGAUGUUUUAUUUUGCCAUUAAGAAUCACACAUUCCAAGCCUUUCAAGAGAAUUAUGCUGCACUCCUGGAACAAGGACCAACUCUGGAGUGAAGGACAACCCCAUCAGCAUGAAUACCAGAGCCUCUCAGAUCAUUUGGUUCACUUUACACCCUUGGAAGAGGAUUGGAGUUUUCCCCAAAGUGGGGAAGAAGAGACUGAAGACCUUGUGGUUCAUGAUUUGGACUCAGAGAAUGCUGGAUGGAACUGCCAACCGUGCCCAGCCCAACGGACCAGAAUAGUCUUUAGGGAAGGCACUCCAAAGUGUGGGGCCUUUCUGGAACUGGACAUAUGCAAACUUAUGCAUACCCUACAGCCUACUAUUUUAAUGCACCUAAUAAAUCAAUUCUAACUUUUUAAGUGUUUAAGUUUUUAGACUUGAAAAUCAAUUUAUAUUUGUUUAUUCUUUACACUAGUUCUUUAAAAAAUUGUACCACUAAGAAUUUAAUGUUCAUUGAAAUGUUUCUUUUAAAAUAUCAGUAAUUUUCUAAGACCUUGAUAUAAUUUAUCAGUGAAAAUAACAUAUUCCGUUUCAAGGGGAUAAGAAAUGAUUUAGGGCCUGAAGUUACUUUUUUUUCCUGAAGUUACUCUUAAUACUAUUUCAAUGUUUCUCUGACUUCUAUUCAAAUAUUUAUAUUAAUAUUUACAUAAUCUAUAUAGAUGGCUUAGCUGAUCUGUAGGUGCUAAUUAAAAUAAUUCUAUGAUUAAUGGGUGGAGUUUUCCUAAAGCAGAUGCAUUAUCUCAUUAAACCAUUAGACUAACUUGUAUUUUUAUAAAAUUUUGCUGUGAUCAUGCCCAUUAUCUUAUUUACUCCUCAUAAUUAGUAUCUACUUAUGAUUAGCUGCCUUUGAUAGAUAAAAAAUACUAAGGAGAGUGACUUACGAUUAUUGUCCAAGUUUAUAUAUUUGGUAUCAUAGCCAUGAACAGAACUAGGCUUUCUGGACUUCUCAUCUGAUGCUCUAGUGCUUGUGGUAACUAUCAUGUGCUUUCCCCAGGCAUGCCUGUCAUGGUUAAGUUAGUAUUUAUUCUGAGUCUUUUUCCAAUGUUCACUAUGUCAAAAAAGAUAACAUGUCAUUUUUCUUUCUUGAUGCCUCUAUUGCUUCAAGGGAAUAUAGUUUUAAUAUUCAAUAGUGAAUAUUAAAUACAUCUAUUAAACAUGAUAUAUGACAAGAAAUCUAUAUCCUGCAUUCAGAAUUUUACUGUUACCCAACAUUCUGAUGUGUGUGUCAAUGCAGCGAACACAAUGGAUCCUCCUGCCAGUCACCUCUUAACUACCUAAAUAUCACAGCUUCUCAGGGCUUGAGGCAGGAGGAUCUUGCUGCAUUUAAGAUUUGAUGGCCCCAUGUCCUUUUUCUUGAUUUGGAAUAAAGAACAAAAAGUAUUAAUAUCCUUAUACGGUAAGUGAUGAAUAGAACUCUGCUCCACAUUUUCAAAUAAGUGAUACUGUCACUACCUGCCCUCAGGGUUCCAGCAGGGUUCUUGUCACUCCACAAGAUCCCAGGAACUUACAGGUUCAUUAUGAUCUCUUAGGUGUGCAGGCCAACUUUAUAUACUUAGGGGGUGGUACAGCCAAGGGGGGGUACAGUGAGAGUUCUAGAGUUGAAAAAACUGAACUAACUCAUUUACUAAUUGUGGGUUUUGGUCAAUCUAUCUUUUUAAUUUCCAUUUAUACUCACAUCAACAUGUAUUUUUUUCCUAAAUGAACUUUCCAAGUGAGAACUGUUUCAUAUUAUUCUUGAAAUGACUUGGAACCUUGGCUUCCUUGGCAUUAUACUUUUACUAUCAAAAUGCCCAAGGUCCUAACAAUGAUUUUAUGAGAGCGCAUGUUCAUCUGUAGAGGUUGCAGAAAUUUGGUGACUUCUGGGAACAGCAGCUCAAAUUCCACACUAUUCCUUUCCAGUUUUUUCCAUCUCAUUUUUGAUGAGAAAAAGUUCAGUUUUAAAAACUUAAAAAAAUAUAUCUAAUGUAUAUAGAAAAGAGAGAUAUGGCAGGAUGGCCGGAAAUGGCAUACAUUAGAAGAAAUAGAUGCAAGACUUUACUUUAAAAAAAAAAAAUCCUGUUCAUGCAAGUCAGGUCCCUUCAGGAAAAUGGUGCUACUUGCCAAAAUCCUCCACAGAAGAUAUGCUUGACGAAAGUGGUGCAGCCCUAUAAUAUGUCUUAUUGGCUCUUUUCCUUCUACCUCACAACUACUACAAAUUAUAUGUGAAUUUAUUAAAGGGUUGGAGAAAAUUAAAAGUAAUGGAGAAAAGUCAUAAUGCAUGUAUUAGAUACAGCUUUCUCAUAGUUCAACAGGAAAACACUCAAGGAUUUCCACAUUUUGGUUCCCAACCUUAUUUUAUCCACAGAUUUCUAAGGGUUUCUCCUUGGCAAUCUCACCAACUAGUGUUAGAAACUCUACUUUAACCAUAAGGGUUGAUUUCACUUCAGAUCUAUUCCCUUCUCUCACAGAAGUAUCUUCUUCCAAGUGUGAAUUAGAAGAAUCCCAUACAGGUUCAAGAAGGACAGUUCAGAUCUAUCAUUCACAUUCCAAAUCUCAUAGAAAGGUCAAGAGUGGGUGUGGCCUUUCCAAGCUUAGCCUCUAAAAGUCUCCCAAAUGGUGUGAGUUGUAGGUGGUUGUUUAUUCUUAAUGAUCAGUGAGUAGCUGUUGAAUCAUACACACACACACACACACACACACACACACACACACACCUCAAGGCAGAUAUUAAUGUUCAGGGUCAAGAAAGACUAAAUUCAUAAAGAAGAAAUUUCCUUCCCUAUAGUUUUUAAGAAUACCAUUAUCCAAAAUUUUUCCUAAUAUUAAUUUUCAUUCUUCCAUUUCCAAAUUUUGUUUCCUAAAGCUACUAGGUAAAGUAAAUAAUUAAUAUGCUAAAUUCAUAUGGUGGCUUCCUUAGCUGUAUAUGACCAAACCAAGACAUGGACAUUAUUGUUCUGAAAUAAUGCAUCAUUCUUCUCUAUGGUUGUGGGGGUGGUAGACAGAUGGCAGUGAAGAGGCAAGGAGUAGGAUUAGAAUUUCAUUUUUUUCUAGCUAAGAAUUGUUGAGCUGAAUUGCUUUAGUUAAUGUAUGUAUGGGGCUAAUAUCUGAAGUAAUAGUUAAAUAAAAUUUGUUUUCUAGGAAUAUUAAAAGGUAAAAAAUCAUUCUGUUCUAUGCUCAUCAGUACAGUUGACCCUUGAACAGUAUAGAGGUUAUGGAUGUUGACUCUCUAUGUGGUUGAAAAUCCAUGUAGAACUUAUCACUCCAUAAAAACUUAACUAUUGGUAGUCUACUGUUGACUAGAAGCCUUACCAAUUACAUGAAUAGUCGAUUAUCACAUAUUUGGUAUGUUAUAUGUAUCCUAUAAAUAUCCUUACCGUAAACUAAACUAGAAGUAAACAAGGUUAUUAGGAAAAUCAUUAGGAAGAAAAAGUACAUUUACAGUACUAUACUUAUAGAAAAAAAUCGCAAGUAUAAUGGAUCUGCACAGUUCCAACUGAUGUCAUUCAAGGGUCAACUGUGUAAAAUAAGCUCUAAACUUGAUCCUUAAUUUAAGGUGUGCAACUAGAACUCUUAACACAUAUGUAGUAGAGGUAUGGAUCUAAUUAUUUACAUUUUAUUAAAGGAUAGAAUUCUUUUUAAUGAUAAAUGUAAUUAUUGUAGUAACAAUAAAGAAAUAUGUUAUUUGAGACA